rnacentral:rRNA from 1 species
UACGUAGGGGGCAAGCGUUGUCCGGAAUCAUUGGGCGUAAAGAGCGUGUAGGCGGCCCGGUAAGUCCGCUGUGAAAGUCCAGGGCUCAACCCUGGGAUGCCGGUGGAUACUGUCGGGCUCGAGUCCGGAAGAGGAGUGUGGAAUUCCUGGUGUAGCGGUGAAAUGCGCAGAUAUCAGGAGGAACACCAAUGGCGAAGGCAGCACUCUGGGACGUGACUGACGCUGAGACGCGAAAGCGUGGGGAGCAAACAG